AGUUGCACAUUUUUCUUUGCAUGAAUGGAAGCUGAGAGGAGCUAUUUUCCCUACAUGCUUUCUCAAAUGGAGCCACAUAGACAAUCUAAAUGACAUAAUUGUGUGUAUGUUGAGUGUAUGUGUAUAUUUUGACUAACCAU
rnacentral:sRNA from 1 species